UUAAAAAAUAGUUUUAUAUUUCUGUGUUCAACUUUAGCCGUUUGUCUUGUUUAAUUUUUUUAUAAUCAACAUUUUUAUUGCUAUUAAAUUGUAACACAGGAACAAUACUUCAUACAUUAAUAUUUUUUCCUAAUUUAUUUAUAAAUUUUUUUGAGUAAGACGAACGGUUCAAGUUAAACACGGAAAUCAAAAAAUGAAUUUUUU
rnacentral:pre_miRNA from 1 species